rnacentral:rRNA from 1 species
AGCCAGACUCCUACGGGAGGCAGCAGUGGGGGAUAUUGCACAAUGGGGGGAACCCUGAUGCAGCGACGCCGCGUGGGCGAUGGAGCGCCUCGGCGCGUAAAGCCCUAUCAGCAGGGAAGAAGAUGACGGUACCUGACUAAGAAGCCCCGGCUAAAUACGUGCCAGCAGCCGCGGUAAUACGUAUGGGGCAAGCGUUAUCCGGAUUUACUGGGUGUAAAGGGAGCGCAGGCGGCCUGGCAAGCCUGAUGUGAAAUACCGGGGCCCAACCCCGGGACUGCAUUGGGAACUGGCGUGCUGGAGUGCCGGAGGGGCAGGCGGAAUUCCUGGUGUAGCGGUGAAAUGCGUAGAUAUCAGGAGGAACACCAGUGGCGAAGGCGGCCUGCUGGACGACAACUGACGGUGAGGCGCGAAAGCGUGGGGAGCAAACAGGAUUAGAUACCCGAGUA